AGUGAACGCUGGCGGUAGGCCUAACACAUGCAAGUCGAACGGCAGCACAGUAAGAGCUUGCUCUUACGGGUGGCGAGUGGCGGACGGGUGAGGAAUACAUCGGAAUCUACUUUUUCGUGGGGGAUAACGUAGGGAAACUUACGCUAAUACCGCAUACGACCUACGGGUGAAAGCAGGGGAUCUUCGGACCUUGCGCGAUUGAAUGAGCCGAUGUCGGAUUAGCUAGUUGGCGGGGUAAAGGCCCACCAAGGCGACGAUCCGUAGCUGGUCUGAGAGGAUGAUCAGCCACACGGGAACUGAGACACGGUCCAGACUCCUACGGGAGGCAGCAGUGGGGAAUAUUAGACAAUGGGCGAAAGCCGGAUCCAGCCAUACCGCGUGGGUGAAGAAGGCCUUCGGGUUGUAAAGCCCUUUUGUUGGGAAAGAAAAGAAGCAGGUUAAUACGCCGCUGUUCCGACGGUACCCAAAGAAUAAGCACCGGCUAACUUCGUG
rnacentral:rRNA from 1 species